AAAUUGAAGAGUUUGAUCAUGGCUCAGAUUGAACGCUGGCGGCAGGCCUAACACAUGCAAGUCGAGCGGUAGCACAGAGAGCUUGCUCUCGGGUGACGAGCGGCGGACGGGUGAGUAAUGUCUGGGAAACUGCCUGAUGGAGGGGGAUAACUACUGGAAACGGUAGCUAAUACCGCAUAACGUCGCAAGACCAAAGUGGGGGACCUUCGGGCCUCAUGCCAUCAGAUGUGCCCAGAUGGGAUUAGCUAGUAGGUGGGGUAACGGCUCACCUAGGCGACGAUCCCUAGCUGGUCUGAGAGGAUGACCAGCCACACUGGAACUGAGACACGGUCCAGACUCCUACGGGAGGCAGCAGUGGGGAAUAUUGCACAAUGGGCGCAAGCCUGAUGCAGCCAUGCCGCGUGUGUGAAGAAGGCCUUCGGGUUGUAAAGCACUUUCAGCGGGGAGGAAGGCGUUAAGGUUAAUAACCUUGUCGAUUGACGUUACCCGCAGAAGAAGCACCGGCUAACUCCGUGCCAGCAGCCGCGGUAAUACGGAGGGUGCAAGCGUUAAUCGGAAUUACUGGGCGUAAAGCGCACGCAGGCGGUCUGUCAAGUCGGAUGUGAAAUCCCCGGGCUCAACCUGGGAACUGCAUUCGAAACUGGCAGGCUAGAGUCUUGUAGAGGGGGGUAGAAUUCCAGGUGUAGCGGUGAAAUGCGUAGAGAUCUGGAGGAAUACCGGUGGCGAAGGCGGCCCCCUGGACAAAGACUGACGCUCAGGUGCGAAAGCGUGGGGAGCAAACAGGAUUAGAUACCCUGGUAGUCCACGCCGUAAACGAUGUCGAUUUGGAGGUUGUGCCCUUGAGGCGUGGCUUCCGGAGCUAACGCGUUAAAUCGACCGCCUGGGGAGUACGGCCGCAAGGUUAAAACUCAAAUGAAUUGACGGGGGCCCGCACAAGCGGUGGAGCAUGUGGUUUAAUUCGAUGCAACGCGAAGAACCUUACCUGGUCUUGACAUCCACAGAACUUUCCAGAGAUGGAUUGGUGCCUUCGGGAACUGUGAGACAGGUGCUGCAUGGCUGUCGUCAGCUCGUGUUGUGAAAUGUUGGGUUAAGUCCCGCAACGAGCGCAACCCUUAUCCUUUGUUGCCAGCGGUCCGGCCGGGAACUCAAAGGAGACUGCCAGUGAUAAACUGGAGGAAGGUGGGGAUGACGUCAAGUCAUCAUGGCCCUUACGACCAGGGCUACACACGUGCUACAAUGGCAUAUACAAAGAGAAGCGACCUCGCGAGAGCAAGCGGACCUCAUAAAGUAUGUCGUAGUCCGGAUUGGAGUCUGCAACUCGACUCCAUGAAGUCGGAAUCGCUAGUAAUCGUAGAUCAGAAUGCUACGGUGAAUACGUUCCCGGGCCUUGUACACACCGCCCGUCACACCAUGGGAGUGGGUUGCAAAAGAAGUAGGUAGCUUAACCUUCGGGAGGGCGCUUACCACUUUGUGAUUCAUGACUGGGGUGAAGUCGUAACAAGGUAACCGUAGGGGAACCUGCGGUUGGAUCACCUCCUUA
rnacentral:rRNA from 3 species